AUGGCGACCGGCGCACGGGUGAGUAACACGUAUCCAACCUGCCGAUAACUCGGGGAUAGCCUUUCGAAAGAAAGAUUAAUACCCGAUGGCAUAAUAGAACCGCAUGGUUUGAUUAUUAAAGAAUUUCGGUUAUCGAUGGGGAUGCGUUCCAUUAGGCAGUUGGUGGGGUAACGGCCCACCAAGCCUUCGAUGGAUAGGGGUUCUGAGAGGAAGGUCCCCCACAUUGGAACUGAGACACGGUCCAAACUCCUACGGGAGGCCAGCAUG
rnacentral:rRNA from 1 species